AUCACAACAAUGGCAGGGACGAACUGGUUUAGUUCAGGUAUGCUAUCCCGGAGCUAGGCUCCGAAACUAGACAAGAAAGACAUCCCAUCCAGGCUGAGAGCAAGACCACAUAAAACAAGGGUUUUGAGUCAGAGAAGCUAUAUAUUAGCACCACCACCGCUUAAAGUGCAAAGUAUAAUCACGAACUCCAUGUUUUAAUUCCUGUGCCAUAAUUCACUAAUCAGCUUAAAAUUUUAAGGGCAAAUAUCUGGAGUUCAGUUCUCCUGCCAUCCUGAUUAUUUGAAUAAACUUGUAUGUGUGUAACUUGAACGGAACCAUUAAGGGAACAAGCUUAUUAUACUCUCGCGCAAAAUCUUACAAAGGUAUAAAAACACGAGAAACAUUUUUCACGAAAAAAUCGUUCGAAACUUAAUGAGAUAAAAGUAGUUGGAUGGCUUUUCAACUAAGCGGUAAGCACGACGACGGGUGAAAAUAAUUAUGAGUUAAGAAAAGGUGUGCAUGCGGUGAAUGAAAAUGCGGAAUGAAACCCCUAUUUAAUCCCGUUGAUGCAUGAGGAAUGCACUAUUCACACCAUGUUGAGGUAGCGAGCAUGUAACAUACAAGUAUGUGUGACGGUAGCUGGAGGAUAUUUGGUGAUAAUUUUUUGUUUGGGCAGAGAAAUUUUUAUAUAAACCAAGAAAAACUUUUCUCGCUUAAAGUUGUGUGACGUAAUUUUACAUAUUCA